rnacentral:rRNA from 1 species
GUUGGCUUUCGGGAGCUAACGCGUUAAGUUAGACCCGCCUGGGGAAGUACGGUCGCAAGAUUAAAAACUCAAAUGAAUUUGACGGGGGCCCGCACAAGCGGUGGAGCAUGUGGUUUAAUUCGAUGCAACGCGAAGAACCUUACCUACUCUUGACAUCCAGAGAAUCCUGCGGAGACGCGGGAGUGCCUUUCGGGAGCUCUGAGACAGGUGCUGCAUGGCUGUCGUCAGCUCGUUUGUGAAAUGUUGGGUUAAGUCCCGCAACGAGCGCAACCCUUAUCCUUGUUUGCCAGCGAGUAAUGUCGGGAACUCCAGGGAGACUGCCGGUGAUAAACCGGAGGAAGGUGGGGACGACGUCAAGUCAUCAUGGCCCUUACGAGUAGGGCUACACACGUGCUACAAUGGCGCAUACAGAGGGCAGCGAACUUGCGAGAGUAAGCGAAUCCCAAAAAGUGCGUCGUAGUCCGGAUUGGAGUCUGCAACUUGACUCCAUGAAGUCGGAAUCGCUAGUAAUCGUGAAUCAGAAUGUCACGGUGAAUACGUUCCCGGGCCUUGUACACACCGCCCGUACAGCGGCCAUGGGAGUGGGGCUGCAAA